GGGGUUGUGGCUUAGUGGUAGAGCACUUGCCUUGCAUGCAUGAAGCCCUGGGUUGGAUCCUCAGCACCACA
rnacentral:tRNA from 1 species